UGGGACUUCUCAGUUGAUGCCUUCAGUUUUCUUCUACGGGCUUGAACCUCGGUGUCAUUAACUUCCCAUUUCCUGGUUUAUUCUGAAGAGAGUAUAAUAUUACAACUACUGAACUUAACUGCAGCAUUUGAGGGCAUUCAGUGACUUUAAUUCUGCAGGAGACGCACAAUUCAGUUCCUUCCACCGCAUACUGAUCUGCCCAUGGAUCAUCAAUCCAUGAUAGGAGUAUGAGUUGAGAGUAAUGUUAUGAUUAGUCUAUAAAGAGUUCGUGUCUAAAAUGUUCAUGGCAACUGAAGCGUGUGUGCGCGUGCCAGUUGCCUUUUUAUUAUUU
rnacentral:misc_RNA from 1 species